CUUUGUCACACUGCAUAGCAGAGUUUAGCAAUUCUGAGAGAUCGGCAUGACAAGUUGGGGCAUUUAUGAGAUGUUUCAGGUGCUGGAGGUGAUCCCUACUAGCCCCAAAGACUUGGGAAUUUGAGCCAUGAUGACCUUGGAGCCAGGAUUCCAGGUGGUUAAAAAUGUCAGCUGUUGUAAAACAAUGAGAACUGGGAAGAAUUCAUUGAAUUAUUCCAGGAGCAGAUCAUUGGGGACAUUUGUGAAAGCAAUUUCA